AACGAACGCUUGCGGCGUGCCUAAGAAAUGCAAGUCGAGCGAGGAUUCACGCUGACCGAAGCUUCGGCAGAGGUCUUGUGAAGCCUAGCGGCGAACGGUCGCGUAACACGUAAGCAACCUGCCCUGAAGUGUGGGAUAGCCCUCCGAAAGGAGGAUUAAUACCGCAUGUGGAUACGAUGUCGCAUGGCAACGUAUCUAAAGCAGCAAUGCGCUUCAGGAUGGGCUUGCGGCCUAUCAGCUAGUUGGUGGGGUAACGGCCUACCAAGGCGACGACGGGUAGCUGGUCUGAGAGGAUGGUCAGCCGGAUUGGGACUGAGACACGGCCCAGACUCCUACGGGGGCAGCAAUUAGGAAUCUUGCGCAAUGGGGGAAACCCUGACGCAGCGACGCCGCGUGAGCGAUGAAAGUCUUUCGGGAUGUAAAGCUCUGUCCUGUGGGGAAGAAGAAUGUGACGGUACCCACCAGAGAAAGACCCGGCUAACUACGUG
rnacentral:rRNA from 1 species